GAGAUUUUCGCAAUGCCCGAAAGGGUGACCGAGCGACGCCGCGUGUGGGAUGAAGGCUUUCGGGUUGUAAACCACUGUCAGGGGGGAAGAAUGCCCGGAUGGCGAAUCCGGGAGUGACGGUACCCCCAGAGGAAGCCCCGGCCAACUCCGUGCCAGCAGCCGCGGUAAUACGGAGGUGGCAAGCGUUGUUCGGAAUUACUGGGCGUAAAGGGCGCGUAGGCGGAAUGGUCCGUCCGAUGUGAAAGUGCUACCGCUCAACGGAGCAAAGCCAAUGGAAACCGCCAUUCUUGAGACCGGGAGAGGUGAGUGGAAUUGCUGGUGGAGCGGUGGAAUGUAUAGAUAUCAGCAAGAACACCGGUGGCGAAGGCGGCUCACUGGCCCGGUUCUGACGCUGAGUGCGCGAAAGCGUGGGGAGCAAACGGGAUUAGAUACCCCGGUAGUCCACGCCCUAAACGAUGGGCACUAAGUAGAGGGGUUUUA
rnacentral:rRNA from 1 species